CAACCAGGAAAGAAGAGCCAGAUGAGUCUUGACUGAAUGCUUUCCAAGGGUGAGGUCAUUCAUUCCUGCAGAGAAGCCCAGGAGCCUGGUACUGUUUUACAGAGGAAAUGCCCCCUAGCCUUGGAGAAGCUUGUCCCUACACGGCGGGAAUGGUAUAACCUGGAUUCUAAACUCCUUCUGAUUCUAGACCAUUCUCUUUCCUCAACACCAAGCGCUCUCAGAUAUUUUUUAAAGUGUUAGAAAACAUAGACUUUCUCUUUUCCAUAUAUUUUAUAGGAAAAACCAUCUUUGGAGCUGGGAAAGGGCCGGAGGUUGUCUGGGAAAAUAAGCUUGGACACUGAAAGCCGUGUGAACUUUGACCUGGGAUCCUAACCUCUGCUGCGUGAGCCGCUCUGCAGGGGGCCAAUCAGAAAGCAGAUCCCAUGAAAUUGCAUGACUGUCAGAACCAAAACCUGGGAUGUCCUCCUUACUGAGGAUGUUAUAACCUAAAUCAGUGGGUCUCAACCAAGAGCCACUCUGGCCCCCAGGGUGCAUUUGGCAAUGUCUGGAGAUGAUUUUGGUAGUUGCCAUUGGUGGUGGAGGUCACAGGCCCAGCAAGGCUGCUGAACUCUUCACAGUGCACAGGACAGCCCCACCACAAAGAAUGAGCUGGCUCAAAAUGUCACUAGAGCAAUUCCUUUUUUUGCCUGCUGGUCAAUGGCCUGAAGCGCCCCAAAUGAUGGUGGCCGCAAUUCCAUCACAGCGCCCAGGAGGAAGCAGGACCUGUAAGCCAGUGGAGCCUAAAGAUUGCUUCGUUCACCUGAUGGAAAUCCUAUAAGCCUCCGGCUCGGGGGGCAGGUUUCCUGCGGAACCACGUGGAUGGAUGUAAUGAUCCACAAGGUGCAUCUUGUUGUGUGUGGAGCUGCUUUUAAAACAGCAAAAGGUGUUGGUUUUUCCUCCCUGCUACCAUCACCCAGAGCCAGAGGGUGUGGGGAAAUAAGCAUUUUAAUGCACUGUUGGAGAGAAAAUAAAUCAUUUCACACUUUUCUGAAAUGAAUUUUG
rnacentral:lncRNA from 1 species